rnacentral:rRNA from 1 species
UACGAAGGGGGCAAGCGUUGUUCGGAAUUACUGGGCGUAAAGAGCGCGCAGGCGGUCGAUCAAGUCGAAUGUGAAAGCCCCCGGCUCAACUGGGGAGGGUCAUUCGAUACUGUCCGACUCGAAGGCAGGAGAGGGAAGCGGAAUCCCGGUGUAGUGGUGAAAUGCGUAGAUAUCGGGAGGAACACCAGUGGCGAAGGCGGCUUCUGGCC